GUCGAGCGAACAGAUAAGGAGCUUGCUCCUUUGACGUUAGCGGCGGACGGGUGAGUAACACGUGGGUAACCUACCUAUAAGACUGGAAUAACUCCGGGAAACCGGGGCUAAUGCCGGAUAACAUUUAGAACCGCAUGGUUCUAAAGUGAAAGAUGGUUUUGCUAUCACUUAUAGAUGGACCCGCGCCGUAUUAGCUAGUUGGUAAGGUAAUGGCUUACCAAGGCAACGAUACGUAGCCGACCUGAGAGGGUGAUCGGCCACACUGGAACUGAGACACGGUCCAGACUCCUACGGGAGGCAGCAGUAGGGAAUCUUCCGCAAUGGGCGAAAGCCUGACGGAGCAACGCCGCGUGAGUGAUGAAGGGUUUCGGCUCGUAAAACUCUGUUAUUAGGGAAGAACAAACGUGUAAGUAACUGUGCACGUCUUGACGGUACCUAAUCAGAAAGCCACGGCUAACUACGUGCCAGCAGCCGCGGUAAUACGUAGGUGGCAAGCGUUAUCCGGAAUUAUUGGGCGUAAAGCGCGCGUAGGCGGUUUCUUAAGUCUGAUGUGAAAGCCCACGGCUCAACCGUGGAGGGUCAUUGGAAACUGGGAGACUUGAGUGCAGAAGAGGAAAGUGGAAUUCCAUGUGUAGCGGUGAAAUGCGCAGAGAUAUGGAGGAACACCAGUGGCGAAGGCGACUUUCUGGUCUGUAACUGACGCUGAUGUGCGAAAGCGUGGGGGAUCAAACAGGAUUAGAUACCCUGGUAGUCCACGCCGUAAACGAUGAGUGCUAAGUGUUAGGGGGGUUUCCGCCCCUUAGUGCUGCAGCUAACGCAUUAAGCACUCCGCCUGGGGAGUACGACGGCAAGGUUGGAACUCAAAGGAUAUGAC
rnacentral:rRNA from 1 species